ACGAACGCUGGCGGCAUGCCUAACACAUGCAAGUCGAACGCGACCUUCGGGUCUAGUGGCGCAUGGGUGCGUAACGCGUGGGAACCUGCCCUUAGGUUCGGAAUAACUCCCCGAAAGGGGUGCUAAUACCGGAUAAUGUCUUCGGACCAAAGAUUUAUCGCCUUUGGAUGGGCCCGCGUUGGAUUAGCUAGUUGGUAGGGUAAAAGCCUACCAAGGCGACGAUCCAUAGCUGGUCUGAGAGGAUGAUCAGCCACACUGGGACUGAGACACGGCCCAGACUCCUACGGGAGGCAGCAGUGGGGAAUAUUGGACAAUGGGCGAAAGCCUGAUCCAGCAAUGCCGCGUGAGUGAUGAAGGCCUUAGGGUUGUAAAGCUCUUUUACCCGGGAUGAUAAUGACAGUACCGGGAGAAUAAGCUCCGGCUAACUCCGUG
rnacentral:rRNA from 1 species